GUUUUGCUCCAAUUAUAGCUACUAAUUUGCAAAUGGCUCCAAGCAGACUGAGGUAUCCCAUGACUUUCUCUUAGCUGUAUGUCUUGAGUCCAGACAGUGGAAACUUGAUGUCCCUCUGGCCUCCCAGGGUACCAUGAGAGCUUCUUUUUAAUGUGGAACUGAUCUCUUUCUUUGAGCGAUAAUAGCAAAGCAAGCACUUCACAAAGACCAGUCCAUCUCGUCUCCAUAAAACCUUAAUGCCCUUCAAUGUGCAAAAAACAGGGAACAAGCUUUCACCCUUUGCCAGAAAACACCAAUUGAGAAGUGUAAAAGGGACCAAAAACAUUUGAAUAUCCCAUUUGAGAUCCACGUGUUAUCCAUUUGUCCCACAUUGCAAGAGUUGGAGAAAGUCCAUCCUCUCUAUAGCUUGCUGGUAAGCUUGAGCUUUGCUUACACUUAAGAGAGCGGGGAGGGGCAGCAUCCUCUGUGGAGCAGCCCCUCAGCCCUCUCCAGGAGGCUGGCUGUGUGGGGUCCCUGCUCCUGGGCAUUUGCUGUGCAACUUCACAUCAAAACCAACUCCCCCAGCUGGAAUGAGGACCAGGGUUCUGGGAGAGGAGAUGCUGCUUUCAAGAUGCACGUGAACGUGAACUUCUGAAGAGCCUGCAGCACGGCCACCCUGUCCUGCCCAGUCUCCAUUUGGGAGAUUACACCAUUGGGUUCCUGGUUUCACUUUGCCCUCACCAACUUUCCAUACUGUCCAGAGACAGUUUGACGCUUGGAGAACACAGUCACUUUCAGAGGGAGGUGCUUUUGCCGAGGAGAAGGGGCAGGAGAUAACUGGCUGUGUGGGAAGGAUCCACUGGUCGGCUCCAAGGCCAUCGAAUAUGGAGAAACUACUAGGUAGGAGUCUGGGUCCCACACUGAGGAGAUGGUUCUGCCCUAAAGAUGUCAAAAAGGUUGCCUGUGGUCACACUGUCAUUUUGAGGCAAAGCUGGAAUUGGAACCAUGGGGCCCAGACUCCCAACCUUGGAGUUUUCUCUUUUAAAGCAUGGUGCUAUUCUCUGACAACCUUAGAGUUCUAGCAAAUGUAUUUGUACCUUUUUUCAUUUCAUUAUGCAUUUACAUUCCAUUUAAUAGUAUACAUUCCUGCUGGUAACAGAAGUUGUGGAUGUGCAUCUAGUAAGAAUGGAAAUUUGGGUGAAAAUGGGC
rnacentral:lncRNA from 1 species